UACGAAGGGGGCGAGCGUUGUUCGGAAUUACUGGGCGUAAAGCGUGCGCAGGCGGUUCGUUGUGUCGGCGGUGAAAGCCCCGGGCUUAACCUGGGAAUGGCCGUCGAAACUGGCGAACUGGAGUGUGGCAGAGGGGGGUGGAAUUCCGCGUGUAGCAGUGAAAUGCGUAGAGAUGCGGAGGAACACCGAUGGCGAAGGCAGCCCCCUGGGCUGACACUGACGCUCAGGCACGAAAGCGUGGGGAGCAAACAGG
rnacentral:rRNA from 1 species